CCCUUAGACACUCUAGGCGGCACGCGCGCUACAAUGGGUGGAAGACCGUGUUACUGCCUUCGAAAGAAGGGGUGAAUCACGAAUUCUUACCUGUGAAUGGGAUAGUUUGUUGCAAUUUUCGGACUUGAACUAGGAAUCCCUUGUAAGCAUGCUCAAGAAUAGCGUGUUGAAUACGUCCCUGCCGUUUGUACACACCGCCCGUCGUUUCUUCCGACUGAUACUCAUUGUGAGUUGCAAGGACCCUUUAUUGGGAAAUUGCUGCGAAUGCUUUGUAUUGGAGGAAGAAAAAGUCGUAACA
rnacentral:rRNA from 1 species